rnacentral:lncRNA from 1 species
CAGAAAUAGGUUGGUAACUGACUCAUGUUAGAAAAUAUAACAUUUAAAAAUAGAGAUGAUCACAUGCUGUGGGUGAUCCCAUGGAAUGGGGCUUCAGGUGGAGGUAGAAUUUAAACCGUGUUUUCUGCUCUCCUGUCACAGCACUGCUAUUAUUUGUGUUUCCCACACAGAAUCACAGCUUUUUGCACCUCCUCAAUGUGACUUACCAUAUUUAGGAACUGAGGCAAUCUGAAACCUUUUGAGAUAUGGUGGCCAGAAUUAAAUGGAAUACUCAGAUUCUCAAUGCACGUUUAAAGGCUGAAACAUCCACAGCAGCACUGCAAAGAUGGCAGGAAAUGGUGCAAAAGCAAAUAAAGUGGAAGAGAACAAGUGAGUGUGAAAGAAGAGCAACUCCAUGCUAUUGGCUGUACUCAGCAGGACUGAUGAGGGCAGAAAAGAAGUACAGUGAGUGAGGACAUGACAAACCUGCUUUCUUUUGUAACUGGGAAGGCAGUUAGUAGCCUUCCAAGAAAAUGACCAUUCUGCUUCAACUGAGCAUUAACAGAAAACAAGUCUUGUUCCAUUCACCAUGAAAUAAUAAUAUUAUGUUGUCUUUGUUAAUU